rnacentral:rRNA from 1 species
GAUGAACGCUAGCGGCAGGCCUAACACAUGCAAGUCGAGGGGUAGAACACUUCGGUGUUUGAGACCGGCGCACGGGUGCGUAACGCGUAUGCAAUCUACCUUGUACAGGGGAAUAGCCAAGAGAAAUCUGGAUCAAUGCCCCAUAGUAUAUAACCUUCGCAUGUUGGUUAUAUUAAAGUUCCAACGGUACAAGAUCAGCAUGCGUCCCAUUAGUUAGAUGGUAAGGUAACGGCUUACCAAGACGAUGAUGGGUAGGAGUCCUGGGAGGGAGAUCCCCCGCACUGGUACUGAGACACGGACCAGACUCCUACGGGAGGCAGCAGUGAGGAAUAUUGGUCAAUGGGCGCAAGCCUGAACCAGCCAUGCCGCGUGCAGGAAGACGGUCCUAUGGAUUGUAAACUGCUUUUAUACAGGAAGAAACCCUCCCACGUGUGGGAGAUUGACGGUACUGUAGGAAUAAGGAUCGGCUAACUCCGUGCCAGCAGCCGCAGUAACAC